rnacentral:misc_RNA from 1 species
AACGCACAUUGCGCCUCCUGUGAGGGAGGCAUGCCUGUCUGAGCGUCGAUUUAACCAUAAAUCGAAAGAUUUGUUUUGGGCUUCACCUCAGGGCGUUGCCUGGAAGCCAGCAACCUGGAGCGGAUGCGAUUCCUUGUGAACUGGCCGCUUGUGGCGAAAACUUCUGUCUUAGACCUCAGAUCAGGUAGGACUACCGCCUGAACUUAA